GAGAGUUUGAUCCUGGCUCAGAUUGAACGCUGGCGGCAGGCCUAACACAUGCAAGUCGAACGGUAGCACAGAGAGCUUGCUCUCGGGUGACGAGUGGCGGACGGGUGAGUAAUGUCUGGGAAACUGCCCGAUGGAGGGGGAUAACUACUGGAAACGGUAGCUAAUACCGCAUAAUGUCGCAAGACCAAAGAGGGGGACCUUCGGGCCUCUUGCCAUCGGAUGUGCCCAGAUGGGAUUAGCUUGUAGGUGGGGUAACGGCUCACCUAGGCGACGAUCCCUAGCUGGUCUGAGAGGAUGACCAGCCACACUGGAACUGAGACACGGUCCAGACUCCUACGGGAGGCAGCAGUGGGGAAUAUUGCACAAUGGGCGCAAGCCUGAUGCAGCCAUGCCGCGUGUAUGAAGAAGGCCUUCGGGUUGUAAAGUACUUUCAGCGAGGAAGAAGGCGUUGUGGUUAAUAACCACA
rnacentral:rRNA from 1 species